GCUUUUGGCUCAAGAUCUUCCCCCUUUCAGAUGAUUCUCAUACUCUGGCAGGUUUGGACAAAAAACCACAGCUCUAAGACCACACAGUAGCUUCCUGGUCCUUCCAGAGCCCCCGCGGUUGACCCUGGGAGUUUGGGGUCCAGGCGCCAGCGGGGCGGGCCAGGUGUGCAGAGGGCGGCGCCGCUGCAGCCCUGCCCAGGGGCGGAGCUCACCUGAGGAUCAGGUAGGCAGCUCCCGGGCAACCCGGCCGCCGGGGAAGCCUGGGCGCGCAGCAGCCGCGGCCUCGCUAGGGCUCCAGGGACGCGGGCAGGGACUGCGGCCCGCCCCACGCCCGGCCGUGGAGCAGCCAGGACGCCAGCUCACCAUGGGGAGACGCCUCAAGUUUCUGCAGAAACUGCCCUUCCUGGGCCAGGACCAUCGGUACAAGCUGCUGGAGAGAGACGAGGUGGAGACCCUGAUCGGCGAGCAGUGCGAGCUGAAAGCCAUCGACAGAGAAAAGACAGUCGCAGCCCUGCCGCCCAGGGAGGCGUGUAAAUGCAGCAAAGAGGACUUGGCCAGAGCCUUCCACGUAGACCUGGACAGAGGCCUGUCGGAGUUCGCAGUGGCCCAGCGUAGGCUGGUCCACGGCUGGAAUGAGUUUGUCACUGAUAACACUGAGCCGGUGUGGAAGAAAUACCUGGAUCAGUUCAGCAGCCCCCUGAUCCUGCUGCUGCUGGGCUCUGCCGUGGUGAGCGUCCUCACCAAAGAGUACGAAGAUGCCAUCAGCAUCGCACUGGCCGUGCUCAUCGUGGUGACUGUCGGCUUCAUCCAGGAAUACAGGUCGGAGAAGUCUCUGGAAGAGCUGACCAAGCUGGUGCCUCCAGAGUGCAACUGCCUGAGGGAAGGCAAGCUGCAGCACCUGCUCGCACGAGACCUGGUCCCAGGAGACAUCGUCUCCCUGUCCACGGGAGACCGGAUCCCCGCUGACAUCCGUCUCAUUGAGGUCACAGACCUCCUGGUGGAUGAAUCCAGUUUCACCGGAGAAGUGGAGCCAUGCAGCAAAACUGACAGCGCAUUGCCAGGCGGUGGGGGCCUCGGCACCCUGAGCAACGUGGUCUUCAUGGGGACACUGGUGCAGUGUGGCAAGGGUCAGGGAGUUGUGAUCGGAACCGGGGAGCAGUCUCAGUUCGGAGAAGUGUUCAAGAUGAUGCAGGCGGAAGAGACCCCUAAAACUCCACUACAGAAGAGUAUGGACAAGCUGGGCAAGCAGCUGACAAUCUUCUCUUUUUGCAUCAUCGGUCUCCUGAUGCUGGUUGGCUGGGUGCAAGGGAAACCCCUUCUCAGCAUGUUCACCAUUGGGGUCAGGUAUGUUAUCGAGGCUCCUGGACCCCCUCCCUGGCAGAGAGGGUGGCACGCUGCAUGA
rnacentral:lncRNA from 1 species